UAAAUGUCAAAAAUGAGAAGCCGUCCCAGGUGGCUGAUGUCCCACCACAGCAGACACCUCCGACACCUCCUGAGACCCUACUCUUCCAGUUUAAAGAUGAGAGCUAUACCCCAGGGCUCAGAUUGUCACCCGCCCAGAUUGUCACUGAUGCCCACACAUGGGGAACUUGGGUCCAGUUUCAUUCAUGUCCCUUCUCCUUUGCUGUCUCCCUGUUCUGCAUGGUGUUUUCCCAGUCUGCGAUGUGCACUGUGAAAGAAAGGUUUGACCAGACACACAGGGUGUGGCUCCUGAUGUCUCUUACAUACAGCACAGCUCAGAGUGCAGUAUGGGGACAGUGUGGACAGGGGUGUGCUCUGCCGUUCUGCUGGUUCUCAUGCUCAGUGAGGGCUCCACCACCCUUUCCUCACCAAGUCAGGGGUGUGCCUCAUACGGAGCUUCUCGAAGUUCAAUAUUUUCUAGAGAUUCCCACAAGAGUCCACCAUUCAAAGAAAUUCUAGGGCGGGAUUAGCAGCCAGGCCAGGAUAAGGGUGUCCUCUGGAUGUCAGGGUGGAGGGUGUGAUGAGCUUCGGGUCUUCAGGUACCUCUUAUUUUCUUCAAGUACCUGCUGUUUCCUGUCUCCUUAAGCACUGGGCUUCCCCUUAAUACCACUCUCCCAUGCACACAGGCAUCUGGGGCUCUCUCUGUGUUCUAAUUCACAAUGAAAGCAUUUUAGACUUAAGGAUUACUUCUGGAAAAGAAUCAAAAAACUUCCUAAUAAAGUAAGUGCUGAACAGAGUCAAGCGUGUCCUAAAUCUUCUGGGUAAUUUUGUGCCACCAGCUGAAGUCUCAGCCUACAGAAAGUAAAUACGGGGCUCGUGAAUCUUGGCUGCCUGCCGGCCUUGACUCACCAAGCGAGCAAACAAAUUUACCAAUUGUGAUGCGGGAGCCCAUGGGUACCUACCUCGGUACAAAAUACACUUGGGGGAUUGUUUGAGGCACAAACAAACAGAAAAUGUGUGGGGCUUGUCCCUGCUCUUCCCCCCUCCCACUUUCUCCUUGGCUUUUCCUUCACCUGAAGGCAAGUCUGAGUCAGCUCAGCAGGCUGUUUGGUGGAUGGACUCAUUACAAUGAAAUGCACCCCUGUGGUCAUCACAGGCACUCUUUUAGCUGUUGUUUUCCCACAGAAAAACCUUUAAUGUUGGGAGUUGGCCAGGUGGGUGGCCCAUGCCUUUAACCCCACUACUUGGGAGACAGAAGCAGGAGGAUCUCUGUGAGUCCACCAGCCUGGCCUGCACAACAAGUCCCAGGGCAGCAGCCAGGACAAGGUGCAAAUCCCAGGAACCCUCUGUGUUUCUGCUUAACACAUGACAGAGCUGAAGAAACUCUGGAGUGACUUUUGCUCCCUUGAAGAACGGAUACCCUCCCCUAACAGUUGCACCAGAAUCUAGAACAUUCCCGUGGCGGCUUGAAAUGAAGCCACCUCCACUUCAGGUGGUUCUAAUCUUUUUUUUUUUUUAAGUUAUCACCAGGGUAUAAUAUUGUAAUUUUGAGUUCAUAGUUCAUGUGUAAAUUGAAAGUAGAAGCUGGACAGACAGAAUUGUAAGAGGCAGGAGAGAUUCCAUUAGUUUGUUCAACAAAUAUUGAUUGACCGGCAGCUGAAGUGCUUGGCCGUAACAGAAGUGCAGCUCCUCUCUAAUGGGCUGUUCCUCCUUGGGGAGGGGAGGGGGGGGGAGGGAAGGGAAAAGAGAAGAAUAAAAGUCUGGUGGAUGUACAGUGCGAGUGUGAAACACAGCAAGAGCACCUACAAGCCCGUACUGUGAAGAAGGCACAGAGAAGUAGCAUGGGCUGGAGAUGAGAGUGGCGAUUACAGAGGUCGGUCAGGAUGGAUAAAGCGGUGUCUACGGUAUGUCACUUCUCCAGGGAAGAGUGUUCAAGGUUAGCCUGGGCUGCAUAGUGAAAUCUUUUCUUGACAAAAGCAGAAGUUGGGCAGAGACCCGUAAAUGUGUUGGUGGUCUGCAUAUCCGCAGUUAAACUUCAUAGCCCUUCCGGGUGAUGCGCAUACAGGAAUGGUGGUGUUACUGUGUUCCAAGGGUACAGGUUUUGUGAUGUCAGAAGGUGACCCUCCAGGCCCUUGUGUAGCAUGAGUCAAGGACAGGUGGUUUCUAUCACCGAGUGCCUGAAAAACAAGGAACUAUGACCUUGAGGCCAAUGACCAAGGCGUUUGUCACUGCUCAGCAAGGUGGCUUUGAAUGCUAGAAGUUAAAAAUGAAUUAAAAACCAGUGAGAUGGGAGGGUAUGGUCGUGGUUUCUCUCAGUUUGAAUACUGCAAGGCCAACUGACAAAUGGGGGAGCCACUUCCUAUCACUCUUAAGACCACAGGACCCAAGAAGAUGAGUGUUGUUCAAAGCCCAUGCGCUGGCUGCUGGCAGUCACCUCCUGGAGAGUAAGGGACAGAGGAGAAAAUAUAAGAACAAACAAUGCAGACCUGGUGUCCAUACAGGUAAGCUGAGGGACUCUUCCUGUGCUCUCAGAUAUGGUGGCCCGUGUAUGACUACCCACACAGAGUCAGGACACCAGGUUAGUGAGCCAAGAGCCAGCUUACUUUUCAAGAGACCAGGGGUGGGUGGGUGCGUUGAGUGGGGACUUCUAAAAAGUUCCUCUUUCUCUCUAUCCUACUCAAAACCAAGGACUGCACAUCCCUUUAAGGCAGCAGAAGACUUGUGUGACGGCCUGUAACUGAACCAGUGGGAAGAGGAGGAAUUUUGAGAGAUGACAGAUACCAUGCAUUGAGGACGUAGAACCUGAAGCCUUCAGGACGGGCUGCGAUUGGUGAGUUCUCUAGUUUUUAAUCUGUUUUUGAGAAGGAGAGAGAUGAUAAGAUUGCAUCUCUGCGGCUGAAGGGGAACUAGAACCUGUGGUUAUUCUCAGUUCCCAGUCUUUAAAGUUGGGUGGGGAAUGAGCGCGCACACUGGCUCAUGAACAAAGCUCUGUGAAGAAAUCCCACAGACGAUGGAUGGGCUUCUCAGCAGUCUACGCUCCCUGCGGGUUGAGACUGGACAGCCGAUAUGCACUGUCGCUGACGUUGGGCACUGAAACCGGGACCCGCUCUGGGUGGUGAUGGGUGCUGGGAGGCAGCCGUUUGUGGUUCUUCGCCCGGGCACAGAAGUGUACUACUUCCUAAUCUCUGCCUUCGAAAGGCUUUGUGGGCUUCAAACUCUCCGGGUUUGAAGCAGAUAUGUUGUAUUUAAAACCCGGAAGACUGACAUAAAGGGUUUUCUCUGAAGAUUACAGGAAUGAGCUGACUUCCUGGUUCAGGGACCGCCCAGCUGGUAAAGGAAAUGCAGAUUCUGGCCAUGUGCUGAUGGCCACCAGGAAGACUGCUGUUCAGAGCGUGUAACAGACACUCAUUCAUGCUAGAAGAAAUCCCAGCUGCCCACUCUUUUGGGAAUGAGAGGUUCGAGCCACAAACUGCACAAUGGAAGCAUGACUUGGGAGUCUUACUGAAUUCUCCUCCAGUGGCCAGGAAGAACAGCCUUUGCUAAUUACCUAGAGGAGUUCACAGGCCUCCGGAGACACGGACACAUACACCAUGAGAGGCAUGACACGCACGUAAGCACAUCCUGUGAUCAGCAUCACCACCUUUUGGCCCACAGCAGUGUUCAGACCUGUCGGCACCUGAAACCUUCCCUCCAAGUGUUACUGGCUUCCUGAGCCAACUGCAAGAUCAGACUGAUUUUGGCAAAAGCGAAGCGUUUGGGGGAGGUUCCCCAUUCUUUCAUCUGACCUGUAGAGCCACUUCUUGGCAGCAUCUACCCCCUUCCCACAGCAGGGCCUCCCGACCGUGGCUGUCCCCUGGCAGGGUGUGCGCUCCCUUCAGGUGGCUGUCACCCUUUCUGGGCUCAGGCACCUCCACCAGCUGCUCCAGCUGUGUUUGCCCUGUGUAUACUGGGAAGGUUUUAUGGGCCUAUUACACCCUAGGCCAUCCUUGACCCUGGAUCUAAGACUGUUCUUUCAUUCCAAAUGACAACAGUGCCUAGGUUUUCCCUGACAAGAAACAAACCGAACCCUGGUUCAAACAACACAAAACUAUCUUCCAAGUCGACAGCAGGUGGACCAAUGAGAAGACGGCUGUGACAGCUGGAAGGAGCACUCGCUGUUCUCAUGAGCUCUCAGGCUGCUCACCUGUGAACAGCUGGACACUCGAGGUAAGUUUCCCACGCGCCGACAGGCACUACAAUGUCUGCACUUAGCUCUGCAGAAUGAACCCAUGAAUAGACGCCCUUCUCCUAGGGAUUUAAACCAUGUUUUAUAUUUAAAUCUUGCAAUGUUGAACAGCAUCCUUGUCUUAUUUCUAUUGCUGCCCUGACCAAAAGCAACACUGAGGAGAAGAGGUCUAAUAAGACUCAGAACUCCAGUUUACAGUCCAUUGUGGGGGAAGCCAAGACAGGAACCUGAGGCAUCAUGGACCCAUAACAAAUUCAAGCAUCAGUUUUUAUCUACAAAAUGUGACAGUAAUACACACACACACACACACACACACACACACACACACACACAGAGAGAGAGAGAGAGAGAGAGAGAAACAAGUGUGCAUGGAGAUGCUGAGGUGAGAGUAAGUCAGAACUGGAGUUGGGGAGUAUCUCAGUGGUACCAGGUGAGCAUGCAGGGAGCCUCGGGCUCCACCCCCACUGCUGCAAACUAGAAUUAAAGAAAAUAGCUGGACAGCAAACAGUGAAAAGGAUUCUCAGUAAAUGCCCCCUGUUUUAAAUUUAGCUAUUGGAGUUAACCUUUAGAUACUGCAUUUAUCUAAAGGUUAUAUAAAAGCACAUUCUUUGGUUUAGAUAAAGCUCAGUAAAAUUCCGGGAUGUUAGUCUCAUUCUAUUAACCAAGACUCCAGUCUAGUACUGGGCCUGCUCAGGUUGGGGAACACAGAAAUCAGUCAUGGAUCUCUCUUAGGGAGUUACCACCUCAGGGGAAGCUAGUUCUACAACUGAAUCAGAGCCACGUGGGACAUACUCAUUGGGAAAGUGGUUCCUGACCUGCUGUGGCUGCAGCAGAGAAGGCGGCAGAAGCCUCCAGACCUGGAUGAGGAACAGAGCUGAAACCGACAAGAACUGCAGUGAAGCCCCUGCACCAUCUCCUGGCCUUUGAAGGCUCCAGAGCCCAGCCUUCCUACUGCGCAGUUAGUGGCUCUCCUGAAGAAUAGACAGAGUUGCCAAGAGUUACAGUCGCCCCACGCAAGGUCAGAAAAGGAGAAAAAAAAGAAUACUUAUCGGUGACAUUGGGAGUGUGAAGGUUUGCCAAUCCCGCAGAAGAUUCACUCCUUAGCAAUACAGCUGACAUUCUAAAAACAUCUUUCCAUUUUACACUGCAUUUUCUCCAGUGACACUUUUGAUUUUAUCAGUAGCACAGGAUGUUACGUACUAGAGACAAACUGCCCACCACCAAGCCACAGUA
rnacentral:sRNA from 1 species